rfam:Lactobacillus ghanensis DSM 18630 NODE_64, whole genome shotgun sequence.
UACUAGCUAUGAUGUGGAAGGUUGCGACACACUCGGAAGCUUUGUCAUGGGGUGCGGCGGUAAUUUUCACGGAGCAAGUCUUAUUUUCAAAAUAGACGAAGGA